rnacentral:rRNA from 1 species
CCUACGGGAGACAGCAGUGAGGAAUAUUGGUCAAUGGGCGUAAGCCUGAACCAGCCAAGUCGCGUGAGGGAUGAAGGUUCUAUGGAUCGUAAACCUCUUUUAUAAGGGAAUAAAGUGCGGGACGUGUCCCGUUUUGUAUGUACCUUAUGAAUAAGGAUCGGCUAACUCCGUGCCAGCAGCCGCGGUAAUACGGAGGAUCCGAGCGUUAUCCGGAUUUAUUGGGUUUAACGGGUGCGUAGGCGGCCUUUUAAGUCAGCGGUGAAAGUCUGUGGCUCAACCAUAGAAUUGCCGUUGAAACUGGGAGUCUUGAGGAUGUUUGAGGCAGGCGGAAUGCGUGGUGUAGCGGUGAAAUGCUUAGAUAUCACGCAGAACCCCGAUUGCGAAGGCAGCCUGCCAAGCCAUGACUGACGCUGAUGCACGAAAGCGUGGGGAUCAAACAGGAUUAGAUACCCCAGUAGCC